rnacentral:rRNA from 1 species
CUACGGAGGGUGCAAGCGUUAAUCGGAAUUACUGGGCGUAAAGCGUACGUAGGCGGUUCGUUAAGUUAGAUGUGAAAGCCCCGGGCUUAACCUGGGAACUGCAUUUAAAACUGGCGGACUAGAGUUGAGUAGAGGGGAGUGGAAUUUCAGGUGUAGCGGUGAAAUGCGUAGAGAUCUGAAGGAACACCAGUGGCGAAGGCGACUCCCUGGACUCGAACUGACGCUGAGGUACGAAAGCGUGGGUAGCAAACGGGAUUAGAAACCCCAGUAGUCC